rnacentral:rRNA from 1 species
AAUAGAUACCCGGGUAGUCCACGCCGUAAACGAUGAGUGCUAAGUGUUAGAGGGUUUCCGCCCUUUAGUGCUGCAGCUAACGCAUUAAGCACUCCGCCUGGGGAGUACGGCCGCAAGGCUGAAACUCAAAGGAAUUGACGGGGGCCCGCACAAGCGGUGGAGCAUGUGGUUUAAUUCGAAGCAACGCGAAGAACCUUACCAGGUCUUGACAUCCUCUGACCUCCCUGGAGACAGGGCCUUCCCCUUCGGGGGACAGAGUGACAGGUGGUGCAUGGUUGUCGUCAGCUCGUGUCGUGAGAUGUUGGGUUAAGUCCCGCAACGAGCGCAACCCUUGACCUUAGUUGCCAGCAUUCAGUUGGGCACUCUAAGGUGACUGCCGGUGACAAACCGGAGGAAGGUGGGGAUGACGUCAAAUCAUCAUGCCCCUUAUGACCUGGGCUACACACGUGCUACAAUGGAUGGUACAAAGGGGCUGCGAGACCGCGAGGUUAAGCCAAUCCCAGAAAAACCAUUCCCCAGUUCGGAUUGCAGGCUGCAACCCCG